UACGUAGGCAGCGAGCGUUGUUCGGAGUUACUGGGCGUAAAGGGUGUGUAGGCGGUUGUUUAAGUUUGGUGUGAAAUCUCCCGGCUUAACUGGGAGGGUGCGCUAAAGACUGCCUGGCUCGAGUGUGGGAGAGGAAAGCGGUAUUCCUGGUGUAGCGGUGAAAUGCGUAGAUAUCAGGAGGAACACCUGCGGUGUAGACGGCUUUCUGGACCGUAACUGACGCUGAGGCACGAAAGCGUGGGGAGCAAACAGG
rnacentral:rRNA from 1 species